ACCGCACAAAUGUGUCCAUCCUACAAGAAGUGGGAGUUACUGUCAGGCUGUCAACCAUCUGUCUUCGCAGAAUUUUUGAAUUCUUUGGACACAUAGCCAGAAAGAAAAAUGACAACCUGGAAAUGCUUCUGGUAACGGGGAAAGUCCAAGGAAGGCGACCACGUGGAAGAAGCCCAAUGCGAUGGACAGAUCAGAUCCGCGAAGGCACUAAAUCUAAAAUCCACGAUGCACUGCACACUGCUGAAGAUCGCAACAAGUGGAAGGAGUUAGUCCACAAAAUAAUUCGUGGAGGCCACGACCCUCAGCAAUGAGGAAUACGACACAAGGAGGAGGAGGACCCUUAAGCAAAAUAACAUAGAAGUAGAAAUUGUCAAGCGUAUUUAAUUAACAAAUUGUUUCGCAUUCACAUAUGAACGUAAAACUAGCUAUAUAAGCACCUCUUAAUUGGUUGCAAUUACAUUUGAAUCCAACUCGCGAUGAAAAUUGUUAUUCUCACAAUAUUAACGCUGGCAUUGUUCAGCGCGAUCGUGUGCGCAGUAGGACCAAUAUUACCAAUAUACGACAUUUCAGAGGCAAGGACAUUAUUUGAUAAAUACAUUCUAGAUCACAAGAAAGAGUAUUCGGGAACUGAAGAGUACAAUAAACGGUAUGAUGUAUUUGUGAAGAAUUUGAAGGUGAUCAAUGAUAUCAAUUCUAACGAUCCAACAUCUGUUGCUGAUAUAAAUGAGGUAGCUGACUGUACUGAAGAGGAGAUUGAACCAGUUCGAGGUUUCGUAUUUAACAUACGUUUUGAAAAACAAAGGAAGAAGCUGGUAUAUAAAGCUAAUUGCUGCUGCGUUUGGCAUCGCCGUC